rnacentral:lncRNA from 1 species
UCCAUCCCCUACAAUGUACUUUAGAUGUUGAAGAGCGAGGGGGCGUAAUUUGAGGAAUUGCUUCCAUAUCCAGGAGCAACCGGGGGAUAUAGUAACUUGCCAAAUAGUCUUAAAUUUUAAGAUAGUUGCUUUCAUCCAGUUUGCCCAGAGAGAGUGGGAUUGAUAGCUGAUAAGGUGGAGGAAAUGUUGCAACAGCAGAGCUUUAUUCCAAUCUAAUAGAUUUUUUAGUCCCA